CAGUGUGACCAGGAAUGUGGUUGUCCGUGUGAGCAUCACCGUGACCAGGCUUGUGGUGCUUCGACGAGAAGUCCUGAUGACCAGGCUUGUGGUUGCUUGUCGAAACAUCCGCAGCUACAGUGGCAAAAGAUUGAGCGACGGCAUCACCGUGACCGGGCUUGUGGUUCUCCGUAUGAACUCCACCAGUGUGACCGGGCUUGUGGUUCUCCGUAGAAACUCCACCGGUGUGACCAGGCUUGUGGUUCUCAGUCGAAACUCCACCGGUGUGACCAGGUUUGUGGUUGUCAGUUGAAACUCCACCAGUGUGACCAGGCUUGUGGUUGUCAACGUGAACUUCUGGCUUGUGAUUGUUCGUUGACGCGUCCGAGUGACCGGGCUUGUGAUUUUUCGUUGACAUCUCUCCCGCUGUCCAAUACGGCGGUAUAGCUGCGUCAGGCUUGUGGUUCUCUGUGUGAAACCCACCGGUGUGCCCGG
rnacentral:lncRNA from 1 species